rnacentral:rRNA from 1 species
GAGGAAAAGAAACUAACAAGGAUUCCCCUAGUAACUGCGAGUGAAGCGGGAAAAGCUCAAAUUUAAAAUCUGGCGGUCUCCGGCCGUCCGAGUUGUAAUUUAGAGAAGCGUUAUCCGUGCUGGACCGUGUAUAAGUCUCCUGGAAUGGAGCGUCAUAGAGGGUGAGAAUCCCGUCUUUGACACGGACUACCAGUGCAUUGUGAUGCGCUCUCGACGAGUCGAGUUGUUUGGGAAUGCAGCUCAAAAUGGGUGGUAAAUGCCAUCUAAAGCUAAAUAUUGGCGAGAGACCGAUAGCGAACAAGUACCGUGAGGGAAAGAUGAAAAGAACUUUGGAAAGAGAGUUAAACAGUACGUGAAAUUGUCGAAAGGGAAACGGUUGCAGUCAGUCGCGUCCGCCGGGGAUCAACCUUGCUUUUGCUUGGCGUAUUUCCCGGUGGAUGGGUCAGCAUCAGUUUUGACCGCAGUUGAAAGGCUGGAGGAAUGUGGCACCUUCGGGUGUGUUAUAGCCUCCUGUCAUAUGCUGCGGUUGGGACUGAGGAACUCAGCACGCCGCAAGGCCGGGAUUCGUCCACGUUCGUGCUUAGGAUGCUGGCAUAAUGUCUGUAACCGACCC